rnacentral:rRNA from 1 species
GGAUUAAGAGCUUGCUCUUAUGAAGUUAGCGGCGGACGGGUGAGUAACACGUGGGUAACCUGCCCAUAAGACUGGGAUAACUCCGGGAAACCGGGGCUAAUACCGGAUAACAUUUUGAACCGCAUGGUUCGAAAUUGAAAGGCGGCUUCGGCUGUCACUUAUGGAUGGACCCGCGUCGCAUUAGCUAGUUGGUGAGGUAACGGCUCACCAAGGCAACGAUGCGUAGCCGACCUGAGAGGGUGAUCGGCCACACUGGGACUGAGACACGGCCCAGACUCCUACGGGAGGCAGCAGUAGGGAAUCUUCCGCAAUGGACGAAAGUCUGACGGAGCAACGCCGCGUGAGUGAUGAAGGCUUUCGGGUCGUAAAACUCUGUUGUUAGGGAAGAACAAGUGCUAGUUGAAUAAGCUGGCACCUUGACGGUACCUAACCAGAAAGCCACGGCUAACUACGUGCCAGCAGCCGCGGUAAUACGUAGGUGGCAAGCGUUAUCCGGAAUUAUUGGGCGUAAAGCGCGCGCAGGUGGUUUCUUAAGUCUGAUGUGAAAGCCCACGGCUCAACCGUGGAGGGUCAUUGGAAACUGGGAGACUUGAGUGCAGAAGAGGAAAGUGGAAUUCCAUGUGUAGCGUGAAAUGCGUAGAGAUAUGGAGGAACACCAGUGGCGAAGGCGACUUUCUGGUCUGUAACUGACACUGAGGCGCGAAAGCGUGGGGA